UCCGCGCCCGCCAUGCCCGGCCGACCCGACGACUACGAGGUGCUGCUCACCAUCGGCGCCGGCUCCUACGGGAAGUGCCGCAAGGUGCGCCGCAAGGCCGACGGCAAGAUCUUGGUAUGGAAGGAACUGGACUAUGGCUCGAUGACGGAGUCGGAGAAGCAGAUGCUCGUUUCGGAGGUGAACCUGCUGAGGGAGCUGCGGCACCCGAACAUCGUCCGGUACUACGACCGGAUCAUCGACAGGAGCAGCACCACCCUGUACAUCGUGAUGGAGUACUGCGAUGGGGGAGACCUGGCGACCUUGAUUGCCAAAUGCUCAAAAGAUAGGCAUUUCUUGGAAGAAAGCUUUAUUCUCCGAGUAUUGACUCAGUUAACAUUGGCCUUGAAGGAGUGUCACAGACGGAGUGAUGGUGCAGUCACUGUGCAUCGUGACUUAAAACCAGCAAAUGUGUUUCUGGAUGGCAAACAGAAUGUGAAACUUGGAGAUUUUGGACUGGCUAGAAUAUUGCAUCACGAUACCAGCUUUGCCAAAACAUUUGUUGGAACUCCAUAUUAUAUGUCUCCAGUAAGACCUCCCUUCUAUGCCUUAUCUUCCCUUUUUUGCCCCUCCAAGGAACAAAUGAACCACAUGUCAUACAAUGAAAAAUCUGACAUUUGGUCUCUAGGAUGUCUUCUGUAUGAACUAUGUGCUCUCUCGCCUCCGUUUACAGCUUACAACCAAAAAGAACUGGCAGAAAAGAUAAGGGAAGGGAAGUUCAGAAGAAUACCAUAUCGUUACUCAGAGGAGUUGAACGAACUUCUCAAGCAGAUGCUGAAUGUAAAGGAUUAUUGCCGACCUUCUGUUGAAGAUAUUCUGCAGCACCCCUUGAUAGCAGACCUGGUGACAGAAGAACAAAAGCAGAAUUCUGACAGAAGAUGUUGGAGAUCGUGGGAGCCAGAAAGGCUGCAGUACUCAGAUGCUGCAGUGAAUGAGCUGAAACGGAAGGAACAGCAACUACAGGAGCGAGAACAAGCCAUUAAGGAGAGAGAGCAACGUUUGGAGCAGAGAGAACGGGAGCUCUGUGUGCGAGAGAGACUGGCAGAAGACAAACUUGCUAGGUAUCCUACUAACCUAUAAUUGUCUGUGUUAGAAAAUCUACAGUCUGACAACAAAAAGCUUAAAUUUCUCUUUCCCAAACAGAGCUGAAAGCCUUAUGAGGAGCUACAAUCUCCACAAGCAGCAGCGAGCGGUAACUUACGCAGAUGGUCCAGAUAACCCACUCCUGCUUCCCUUUUCUACAACCAAGAAGAAUGUACCCUUUGAAGGAAGUGAAGAGAAAGCGGUGUCUCCUAAUAAUAUGGAAAACUAUCUCUUUUCUAAAGGAAAAAGCUCUGAUCUCAAAAAACGGCUAUAUGCUGCAAAUCUACGAGCUCAAGCACUAUCUGAACUGGAAAAAAACUACCAACUAAAGAGCAGACAAAUCUUGGGCAUGCGUUGAAACUGUAAAAGAUGUGUUUACCUUUUAAAAGAUAAUUAAAUCUAUAGGAAGAUCCUUGUGCCUCCCUCUUUUAAGCUAGAACCUACUGAAAAAUGAUUUUAACAGUUUUUGUACAAACUCUUAGUUUGUGACAGGUAGUUUAUGA